GACAGAGGGUGCAAACGUGUUCGGAUUACUGGGCGUAAGCGCGUGUAGGCGGCUUUACAAGUCGGAUGUGAAAGCCCACGGCUCAACCGUGGAAGUGCAUCCGAAACUGUAUCGCUGGAGUCCCGGAGAGGAAGGUGGAAUGCUUGGUGUAGAGGUGAAAUCGUAGAUAUCAAGCAGAACACCUGCGGCGAAGGCGGCCUCGUGG
rnacentral:rRNA from 1 species